rnacentral:snRNA from 1 species
GUGCUCACUUCAGCAGCACAUAAACUAAAAUUGGAAUGAUACAGGGCAUGGCCCCUGAGCAAAGAUAUGCAAAUCUGUGAAGCACUGCAUAUUUCU